AGCUUAGUCCGAUGUGUUUUCAGUGUUUUUACUAUUUGAUGCUGUUUUCGCUGCUUUUAUGAUUUUAUGUAAAGUGUCUUUGAGUAUUCAGAAAAGCGCUUACAAAUAAAAUGCAUUAUAAUUAUUAAAGGGCCGCAGGUCAGAUUUGAACCCUGGGCCACUGCAGCAAGGACUUGGCCUCAGUACAUGGGUAGCAAGCUCUACUGACUGAGCUAACCGGGUACCCUAUUUAUAUUACAUUUUAACAACAAACUGCUGAUAUUGAUAAUAUGAUGACAUAAUAUGUUGAUAAUGUCCUACUUUAUAAUUAAAAUGACAUCAAACUUUGUUACAAAUAAAUAUAUUCAUGGUUACUGUAAUGAAGAAGUUCAUGUCCUCACAUAUGCUUUAAGGAACCUGGAGAAAAUGAUUCAUUUACUUUAAUGAUGUUGGGUCACAACAGCACUGAUGAAUGAUUAUCUGAUUACUUUUAUUUUUUUCUAAAUAUCAAGGAGAGAUAUUAAAAUUCUAUUAUAUGGUGUAUUUUUUCUGAAGACAUUACUUGAUAUUUUUAAUACAGUGGAGUUCAAUGUUUACAGUAACAUACAUGACAACAACUGAUUUGAUGAACUGGUCUUUAUUGUGUUGAAAUAAUCAAAAUAACGAAUUGAAUCAAUGGCACACGUAUUUAGAGAGUGGGUGAGGAAAAGAAAGAGAGAGAAAGAUAAUGAGAGAGCGCAGACGGAGAGCAGUAGUAGAUUAAAACCAGUAUCAGAGUCCCAGUGAGUCAGGUCAGAACUGGGAACACUGGUCUCUCCUCAGUGUCUCUGAGAGCGGAGUCUGGGAGCCCUGGGUGGCCUCACAGGUCACAGAGCCCACCUUCCUCCAGUGGUCUGCAGAGAGCCUCAGCUCCCAGCUGCUGCUGCUGCUGCUGCUGCUGCCGUCCACCUUCCAGGACAGACUCCAGUCUGAGGGGAAGCCCUUGUUGGCCAGACACAUGAGCGUGGCCUUCCCCUGCUGCAGCUCCUUACUGGAGGGGGGCAGCACCGUCAGGGUGGGACGGACAUCACCUAGGAGACACCAAUCAGCUUAGAGGACAGGGACCACACAGCUGUCAAUCAAGCAGCAGACACUUGGACACCUUUACUGUGUGAGAGUUGAUUUUCUCCUUUAAGGAGUUUCUGUCAGAUGGUUUUUCUGCUCCACCAGUCACUCACUCACACAUUGUUUCACUUCCCUUUAAGAAGCCUCUCAUGCAUAUCAGCACAGAGAGAAUCAUCAUACAGAAUGAGCUGAAAUAUAUCAAACUACACUGGAAAUAAAAUAUCAAAAACUGUAUCAUCAAAAUCAUCCAAAACCUGAACUAUACAUUACUUUAAAGUAUUUAGUGGAAACAUGAACAAACACAGAAAAUGAACUGACUACAAUCAAAUGUUCUUCAUGUGGAUUUCAAUCAUUAUAGCCAAACUCUUCAACAGAUUUUAAACUUGAAGCAAUCUAUGACGAAAUGAAGAGAUUUUGAAGAUUUUCAAAUUAUAAGCUUUAUCUUCACUCUGUACGAUUUUAUUUUAAUAACUCAAUCUCAACUAAUUCAAAAACAGCUAUUACAAAUGUGGAAAAAUAAAAGCAAAUCUUUAAAGACAUUUAUAAAACAGUUUGCAGUUUUAUCUUUUCUACACUUUGGGCUGUUUGAAUUUCAGUUUAACAGGAAUGUUUAAAGAGAUGUUUAGAAAAGCUGCUCUGAAUUAGCCUCGAUCAUAAAUGAGGAGAAAUACGUAAAUAAAUCCAUAUUGAAAUUAAAACAAGAUAUAUUUAUCAGCCUCAAGCAACCUAAAACUGAAUAUAAAACAUUACUUUACAAUAUUGUAUUUAGUACUUGUGUAGAAACUUACUACCAACAUCCAGUCUGGUUCCUCCACCAAAAGUCCACCACAGUGAUACAAACUCAUUGAGCCGCCGUACAAAAACCUCUCACUGUAGAGAGACACGGCUCUCUGACUUUGACACAAACAAACUCAACAAAAUUAUUCUGUUUGUAAAACCUUGUCAUGUGACAAGAUAACAAUCACCAGAAACUUCCAAGAUGUAUUUAUAUAUUUGUUAACAUAAGAUAAGAAAAGAUAAGAUAUACCUUUAUUGAUCCCCUGUAGAAGAAAUUCAAAUUAGACACAGCAGCAUAGGCCAAUGUAGUGCAACGAGUACAGAAGUUUAAUUAGAAUCGCAAAAUAGGAAUUUUACAAAAAAUAGCAGAAAAUAUAGACUAUAAUUGAAAAGCAUAUACACUAUAUGCAAUAUGCAAGUAAAAUGGUGGGGUGGACAUAUGGAAAGGGGUCGGGGGAGGGAAGAAGUGGAGGGGGGUUAAGGGGGGAAAGGGCUGUCAUCUGGGUAAAGAAGGGAGAGAUGGGCUGUGGAGGAGGGUGGGGUAGCCAAGGUGUGAAUGAGGGUACCUGAGGAGGUGG
rnacentral:lncRNA from 15 species